rnacentral:lncRNA from 1 species
AAAGUGAAGGCAUCUGCUGGCAGCCAGCCAGCACAGGGCCCAAGCCUCGCUCGUGAUAGUCCAAGUCUGUCCACGGCUAGUCACCAAGGCCCUGCCUCCCUGACCUGCCCAGACGUCUCUGUAUCACCUCCGCCUGCCAGGAGACCCCUCAAAGGGAACUGCGCUCCAAGACAUCCAUCUUUGCUGUUCCCCACCCUGCGCUUCCAGACUGGUCGGCCAACAGGGUUGAACUUCGUCCUCCACCCUGCGACAGGGUCUCGUCCCACUCGCCUCGUCAGGUCCGGCACUCUGUGCUACUGUCUCGAUCCGCACGCCAACCUCUCCUCGGUUGCCGCGGUUAGCCAGGUCAUGCAGCCAGCUCUCCCCAGACACAGCCCAUGGCCACCAAGAGUGGUGGGUGUACUGGACGUAGCCUUACAAACAGAGGGCUGCCCGGACAGACAGUGGAUGGAUGGGUGGAGAAGCACAUGGACAGAUGGAUGGGUCACAGAUGAGCUGGCUCCAGGGGAGAAAACAGCCCUAUUCUUCCGAGAGGAAUGUUCUUUCACUCCCAAAGCACUGUUUCCAGGACGCCCAUUCCCACAAAGACGGACCCCCUCAGUUUCCACCCCUCAAUCCCGGACUCACACCCGAAGCGACUUCACCCACCUCCUGGCAUCGUUGGCUGUGGAGAUACAGAUGCUUCAUGCGUAGUCCCCAAGUGUCUCAGCGGCCUAUGAGGCGGGCCAGUCAUUCUCAAAUCUUUUUUAGCAAUGGAAUUCUUUCUUCAAAAGAAAAGUCAUGAAGAGCCCUAGUAGACAAAACAGAAAUGUGAAGCUGGGCUAAUUGAAGUGAAAAUAAGAACCAUGGCUGGAGCGCCAACGCUCACGCCAACCGGCCUACCCCUUUGCCCUGGAUUCCACAGAGCGCCAUUUACAAACCUCCCAACAGACCCAAGGGGCUCCAGGAGCAGGGGGAGCCACGCAGCUCUUGGCCUGUGGCUCACAGCUUGGAGCAGAGUUCCAGGAGGCCGCUGGGGACUGUGGAGAGUGGAGCGGGCGAGGCGUGGGUGUGCACGUGGGUGUGUGUGUGUAGAUUGUGUGAGAGUGUGUGGAACAGAAAAUGUGUGUGAGGAUGGGUAUGAGAGGGCGUGUGAGUGCGUGAGAGUAAAAUGUGUGUGUGAAUGUGUAUGAGAGAGUGUCUAAGUGUGUGUGAGUGAAGAUGCGUGUGUGUGUGUGGCUGUGAAAGGGUAUGUAUAAGAGUAUAUAUGAGAAUGUGUCUGAGAGUGGGUAUGUGUAUGAGUGUGAAAGGGUGUGUAUGUGAGUGUGUGUGAGAGAGAGGCUUGAUGAGAGAUAUCAAUAUAUAAUUUAACUACACAGGUUAAACACACACAGGCCAUAGUCAUAGCCAUUUCACCAAAUGGCCAUAAAACUAAAAGAUAAAUAGGAAAUCCCUCAAUUACAGGGAUUUUUCUGAGGAGGGAGCGGUGCAAUAAAGUGCUAUCUGAACUAAGUCA